GGAGAGGCAGGUCAGCUCUGUGUACAAAGGUGUCUCCACCGCUCUCGUUCAAAUGAGGCUUCAGAGACAUCCAAUAGCAACAUCAAGGAGGCAAUUUUUUGCACAAAUGUGGCUCAGAGCUUUUUGAACUUGAAGAUUGUUGGCAUAUAUGUGGUGAUCGGAUUAUGGAUGAAAUUGCCUAGACAGAGAACAUUUGGACGAUGAGAGUGUAGAAGAAAGCUGUAAGAAACCCUACCAUCCACAGCCAAACUUGCAGAAAGGAUAUAAAAGAAGUGGGUGUCUCUCCAUGGAAGAAUAUAGCCUGAACCCUGUUCUGAAAAGAAUCCAAGAAAUUCAUUGAAGAGUGAGAAUAUUUCUGAAAAUCAACAAACUCCACCUG